rnacentral:lncRNA from 1 species
AACAAUAAGAUGUGUUGAAUAAUUGUAAAGGGGUUUAUACUGGAUGGAAAGUUUUCUAAAGGUGUCGCCUCCCAUUAGCAUGCCUGUGAUAUUUCUGUAUUCUGCUACUACAAAGCAGCACCCCUUCCUUCAUACUUGGUGCUUUAGUCUUCUUUGGCUUGAUUAAUAACAUGUUGCACAUGGAUAGAAAAAAUAGGUAGGUCAUGUUUCACCGGUUUUUGUUUGAGUUCAAUCGACAGAAAACAGGGAAGAAAACGUUGUCAUGUCAAGGUCCACUUACACUAAGACUAACUCGUUAAAAUUGUUGGC